UUAACACAUGCAAGUCGAGCGGGGAGAUGUAGCUUGCUACAUUUCCUAGCGGCGGACGGGUGAGUAAUGCUUAGGAAUCUGCCUAUUAGUGGGGGACAACAUUCCGAAAGGAAUGCUAAUACCGCAUACGCCCUACGGGGGAAAGCAGGGGAUCUUCGGACCUUGCGCUAAUAGAUGAGCCUAAGUCAGAUUAGCUAGUUGGUGGGGUAAAGGCCUACCAAGGCGACGAUCUGUAGCGGGUCUGAGAGGAUGAUCCGCCACACUGGGACUGAGACACGGCCCAGACUCCUACGGGAGGCAGCAGUGGGGAAUAUUGGACAAUGGGCGCAAGCCUGAUCCAGCCAUGCCGCGUGUGUGAAGAAGGCCUUUUGGUUGUAAAGCACUUUAAGCGAGGAGGAGGCUACUUGGAUUAAUACUCUAGGAUAGUGGACGUUACUCGCAGAAUAAGCACCGGCUAACUCUGUGCCAGCAGCCGCGGUAAUACAGAGGGUGCGAGCGUUAAUCGGAUUUACUGGGCGUAAAGCGUGCGUAGGCGGCUUCUUAAGUCGGAUGUGAAAUCCCUGAGCUUAACUUAGGAAUUGCAUUCGAUACUGGGAAGCUAGAGUAUGGGAGAGGAUGGUAGAAUUCCAGGUGUAGCGGUGAAAUGCGUAGAGAUCUGGAGGAAUAUCGAUGGCGAAGGCAGCCAUCUGGCCUAAUACUGACGCUGAGGUACGAAAGCAUGGGGAGCAAACAGGAUUAGAUACCCUGGUAGUCCAUGCCGUAAACGAUGUCUACUAGCCGUUGGGGCCUUUGAGGCUUUAGUGGCGCAGUUAACGCGAUAAGUAGACCGCCUGGGGAGUACGGUCGCAAGACUAAAACUCAAAUGAAUUGACGG
rnacentral:rRNA from 1 species